UUCUUAAUGUAUGUUUUUCUACAGAAAAGUUUGCGAGGACUGCAACUGAUGAAAGGGGAUAUCACCUUGUAAAUAGAAAUGAAAUGCUGGUGACUCCAAAUGAAGAUGUUGAGUGAUUAGAGACAUCAUACUAUUUUGACGAUCAAAUUGUCAUCUGAACCAAGAGCAAGAUUUGGAAUUUAUAUUGAUUGCUGGAAGGCAGUUACAAGAUUGCCAUUAUCAAGGAUUCUAUCAGUCAUCAUGAUAAUCUGAAUAGGUGAUUGGUCUAAACCCCGUCAUGUGAGCAAAGAUAGUUUCAACCAAUGUCACAAACUUGGGGAAAAUGCUAUGAAUCCUGGCAUUUGACGUCACAAUAGCUGGUAAUAGUAUACCCGAACUGUACAUAGUUUAAAAAAAAAAAACAUCUACGGCUUGUUGGACGGGGCUUAAAGGUAUUGUUUAACUUUGUGAGCAGCCGAUUUAAAAAAUUCUCAAACCAAGAUGAAACAUGUGUACAAGUGCAUGUAUUAGAACUAAUAAACCCUGAAAACAACCAUUAUUGAGAAUGAAAAGCUAAAACUACAAGGCAAAUCCAGAUUUUGUAAAUAGGCGUCUUAUAGACGCUUAAAUAGUACACAUAAGUGUAUGGGAUGAAAUUAAGAUGGUGUUUUCGGUCACUUUAUAUUUCAAUUUUUGAAGCACUAAAUAAUUAUUUUUUAACGCAAUUUUUUCUGGGCUUCAUUUUUGUAACAUAUCACAGACACAGGUGACAAGUGUGACCUUCUAGCUCAGAUUUUUUAAAAGUCAAACCAAUGUUAACCAAUCACUUUAAGUCAAAUGCAUGCACAGUUGCAAUCGUGUUUCAUUAGUUUAGCAAAUUUAAUUAAUCUGUUGUAUUUAACACCAAUUACGGUUAUAAACCAAAUAUGGCCUUCGAUCAGAGGUAUGGUGAAACUAUGGUCCCCUCAGUGACGCGAAUGUGAUCGUUUUUCUUCGGGGUUGCGCUCCUCAGGAAAAUAGCCGCAUUCCAGGCGUCACUUCGGGAACCAUAGUUCCAACCACCUCCUCUGGAGGCUGUAGAUGUAUGUAUUGUUCAAUAAUAGUGUGAUAAGCUUCACACUAUCAUUGAACAAAUGAGUAAUUUCAUAAAGCUGUUAGUACGGUACGUAGGACUUUAUAAAUUGCUUGGCAUAUUGGCCACUGCCCUCACUCAUGUUCCGUUUAGAUAAAUUGUAUGUUUAUAUGUUUCGUGAUUGCUUUGUAUGAGUGAAAAAUAAAUACAUAAUUAAAAUAUGAAAUUGAAAAUGUUGUGCUCAAUGAUAACAGAACAUUUUCAGAAAAUGAGCAAAAUUCAUGCAUUUGUUCCAAUAUUGGAUUGUGGACCAGUUGUAAGCUGUGCAGAGGCCUUCGUCAAGAUGGAAAGUGUGCUGUGUAAAUCUAAUGUAUAAAUUAAUUAAUAUGAUUAAGCCAUCUUAGCCAUCUGCUUAGCCACUUUGUUGUGACUCUCACGCUACUAUUCCAUGUAUGAUUUAUCUGGUAGUUGCAAGAAUGCUAGACAAUAUAUAAAAAAUUGUGAUGGUCACUCCGGGGGGGGGGGGGGGGGGG